UCACACUUCAGAAGCAUGUGCCCUAAUUUUUUUCUCUCUCUCUCUCGCUCUCCCUCAAGACGCUCAAUCCUCCGCCGCCAUUGAAUCGAUCUUCAAUAAUCCAUUUUUCCUUUUAACUUGCCAACUCCAAGUCUCCAAUCUUCCAUUAAGUUUGUGGUUCUACAGUGUAAGCUUUGUAAAGUUCGAUCUGUCCAGUUUAGGAAGAAAGGCAUUCCAUAUCUCAACACAUAUGAUGGAAGGACAAUUCGCUAUCCAGACCCACUCAUCAAAGCAAAUGACACAAUCAAACUCGACCUUGAGUCGAACAAAAUUGUUGAUUUUAUCAAGUUUGAUGUUGGCAAUGUUGUGAUGGUGACCGGUGGAAGGAACAGGGGACGUGUUGGAGUGAUCAAGAACCGUGAGAAGCAUAAGGGAAACUUCGAAACUAUCCACAUCCAGGAUGUUCUUGGGCACGAGUUUGUUACCCGUCUGGACAAUGUGUUCACUAUUGGAAAAGGUACAAAGCAAUGUGUUCACUAUUUAUUUACAGUUUUGACUUAUUUAUUACGUUCUCCAAAUUUUGUUUAAUUAAUUUGGAUAUUUGUGUGACCACUUUUAUUGAUUUUAGGUUUCGGUUCUCUACAGUUUUAGUUUGUUUAAUGUAAAUUUUUUUCCUCCAAUUUUUUACAACUCUCCCUACUUGGAAAGUAUCCAAAAAUCCUCCUUACUCUCUUUAUAUGAUUUCAACAAAUUACAACAGUAAUGAGACGGAUUUUUAACAAAUUGCAAUGUAAAGUUUACGUGCUAUUAAGUAUUAAGAUUUGAUUAUGUAAAGUUGUGGAGCAUCUUGCACUUUCAACACAUUUGAUAACAUCACCAAGGGGAUAAAAAGAAGAUCGUCUGAGGCUUUUUUUUUUUUUUUUUUUUUUGAUACCCAGGUGUCCUAAGAUUCGCCAGGCUAAAUCUUGGACCCCUAGCCACCAGCCCCUCAGUGACUAGCGGAGGUAAACCGCAUGUUGUGCCCUUGUUGGAUCCAGAGCCGGUCCUGUGUCUAAUAGGCCCUGAGGCGAACGAUGAAAAGUAGGCCCCCCAGCGACAAAAUUCAAAGGUGUAUAAUGCGACUCAUUGCUAACUUAAAAAACUAACAUUAAAACAACAACGAAAUAUAUCAUAGAAACGAUUUAUAUUAUAAACCAUCAAAUCAAAAAUUUCAAACAAUUAGUUAAAUACUAUUCGUCUUGCUGUUUUAGAGGCAAAAAUAUCAAUCAAAUCUGAAUAAUUUAACUGCUCAACCAUUUCUUUUUCUAUUGAUAACAUAGUCAAUCCGUUUAAUCUUUCUUGCGACAUAGUUGAUCGGAGAUAGGUCUUGAUCAACUUUAAUUUUGAGAAACUUCUUUCCGCAGAUGCAACUGUAACCGGUAUGGUUAACAAAAUUUGGUAAGCAGUAUAAGCAUUUGGAAAACAAACAUCCAAUGUCUUCAAAUAUUGUAGCACUUCAAUUGCUCUUGUUGCUUCACUUGGUAUAUAACAUCUCAAGACUUGUAACUCCGAACAUAAAUCAUCUUCACUAAUAUCCGAACGCCCAUUAUGUUGAAGAUAUUUCUCAAGAUUCAAACAAGAUUUCAACAAACUUGAAAAAGUUGUAUCCCUUAACCUCUUCAAACUAAACAAAAAUCCAAAUGUGUCAUCAUAUUGUUUGAAUUGUUCAAAUCGAGUCCUCAUAGAAGAUAGAGCUUGAUCAAUUAUAAAAAUAAAGUACUCAACUCUAAAAGAUUCUUCUGCUGAUUGUUUUACCUCAUCACUACCGCUUUCAUCAAAUUGUUUUUUUCUUCGAAUUAUGCGUUUUUCUGUAAAUACAGCUUCAAUUCCCAUUUCGCUUGCCUUUUUUGCCGCUUCAUCUUUGGCAAUAGCAAAUCCAAUUUCUCUAUAUUCUUCAAGAAAUGAAACAAGCCCUUGCAAGAGGUCGAUAGCAUGAUCAAUAUCCAUGGAUUCGGUUUAAAGAAAUUUACUCACAAUAUUGACCGCAUGCAACAAUCUGUACCAGAUUAUCAUGCCAAACAAAAACUCAAAAUUUUGAAGUUCAUGUGUUGCUAAUGACUCGGCUUCACUCUUCACUUUAGGUUCUUCAUUACUUUCUGCUAAAUCAAGUAAUGCAUCUCUUAUCUGUGCAGUUUGCUCCAUUAUAGGCUUCACACUUUCAACAUGACUUUUCCAACGUGUUUGUGACAAUGGCUUCACUGUCAACCCUUGUACAUUAUCUUUGAAAAUUUUCCAUCGCUUGGUAGAAGAGGAAAAUAAUGUGUAGAUGCGUUGUAUCACUCCGAAGAAGGAUACAGCUUUGGAACAACAGUUCACCAUAUCACAUAAUGCUAGAUUUAGACUAUGAGCGCCACAUGGAGUAUAGAAAGCUCGGGGAUUCAUUUCAUGGACCCUUCUUUGCACACCUUUGUGCUUCCCGCUCAUGUUAGAUCCGUUGUCAUACCCUUGCCCUCUAAUGUCAUCAAUAUCGAGAUCAAUUUUUAUCAAAGCCUUUUGAAGCUCGGUUGCAAGUCCAAGUCCUGUUGUGUCAUCUACCUUCAAGAAUUCUAGCCAAUGUUCUUGAACUGUAGGUAAGUUUGUCGAAUUAUCUACAAAUCGAACAAUUAAAGACAUUUGCUCCUCCUGACUUGCAUCUGGAGUACAAUCAAGUAUAACUGCGAAAUAUUUUGCAUCUUUAACUUUCUUGACGAUUGAACUUCUCACUUGAUUAGCCAACAACUGUAUCAACUCAUUUUGAAUUUUUUUGCCAAGAUAUGUAUAUUGAAUCUCUUUUGCUUUAGCUCGCCGAAUGUGCUCUUGCAUUAUUGGAUCAAAUUCACUAACCAUUUCAACCAUUUGUAAAAAUAGGCCAUUGUUCUCAACAUGUAGCCUCUCAUCAUCUCCUCGAAAUGGCAAUGUGUUUUUCGCAAGUCUUUUAACAAUAGCGAUUAUCCUUUUUAAUACAUGUCUCCAAUGUUCUCUUUUAGCAUCAAUCAACAAUUCAAUGCUUUUAUCAAUUGUAGUUUUUGAUCGAAACCUAUUUUCCAAUUCAAUUCAACUAGUCAUGCAACGUAAAUGCUCCUCAUUUCCUUCAUGACUUUUAACAGACCGAUGCAAAUUAUGCCAAUCUUUGAAUCCUUCAUUACCUAAUUGGCCAACUUUUGUCACAUUUAUUGGUGUUUUGAACAACUUGCAACAAAAGCAGAAGAUCCUGUCCAUAGACACUGAAUAUACUAGCCAUCUUCUAUCAACUGUUUUUCCAUUUGGUAGCAAUCGCUUAUAUUGUGAAGAAUCAAAAUGUCUAUUUGUAAAGUCGUUCGGAAACGAGAUGUCAUCAACUCUUUUUGGACCCCUUUCAACGAAGUAAUCCCUUGUUCUUUGAUCAAUAAUUUUCCAAUUCCCGGGAUCAUCCAAAUUUAGAGAAAAACAACCCUCUUCUUCCUUAUCAUCUUCUUCAUUAUUAGAGGCGGGCUUCAUCACUUCUUCUUCCUUAUCAUCUACUUCGUUAACAUCGGUAGGUUGACUCACUUCUUCAUCCUUAUCAUCCACUUCAUUAACAUAGGCAGGUUGAAUCUCUACUUCAUCCUCAGUCAACGCAUUCACAUUGUCACUUUUGAAGUACUUGUUAAUAUCCCCUGCUUGACUUUGAAUUAAUGCAAUUUCACUUCGUUUUCUUUUCCUCUUUUGAGCACCAGACUCGUAUUUAGGAGGCAUAGUAAUGUCCAGUGAGUAGCCUAAAAAACAAUUAUUAAAUAACUCAAUCAUUUCACAAUUAUAGUUUCCAAUAUAGUUACUACGUGCGUCUGUGCAAUUGUUCAUUCUACAAUAAGCAAUCAUAUAAGCCGACCAGGCUGCAAUUAUAUAAGUCAACCAGGCUUCAAACAUUUCCAAUCUCUUUAAUAACAACUUAGGGUAAGCUAUUGCUUACCUGAUAAGUGAAAUUUUGAUGAAAAUUAUGGAAUUACACCCUUAAGAAUGAUCCCGUUUUCUGAACCAGUGGUAAGCUGAUCUCAAUUUUUGAAUUCUGUCAACGAUGCUCUAGCAUAGCAAAAAGAAACAUGUAAGGAAAUAACAAGUAUAUGAUGGAUUAAAAUGAAAGAAAUAACAAGUAUUUGAUAAAUUAUAAAACUUCAAUUUAGUUAAAACAUGGAUGUUACUAGAUCAUAGUUAAAACAUGGAUGUUAUAGUGUGUAAUUUUAAUUUCAAGAUGAAUAGUUUCGGAGAUGAAAUUUAAUUCUGUCUAAUUAUAUCAAGGUUUGACUGUUUAAGGGAAAGUUAUUUAUAUCAUUGGAUUUGUUAAUAACAUUUCAAUACUGUAAUUCACGGUCUACCUCACUAGUCUAGUAUAGCAAGACGAGUGAGUCUUCUUAAAUAUGUAAUUGGAGAUGCCAAAUGCUGCUGAUUCGUUAAUAUGAGAGCAUCUUUUUGUUCAAUUAGCUCUUUUAAUAAAUGUUUAUUUCAGUAACAAUGGGAAUGGUAUGUUAUAGGGGUGCAAUGAGCUUAGGUUGUUAAACUUUCUAAUCAACUAGCAAAACAAGGUGUCAAUGGCAAAUAUAAGAAUUCACUUUCCCCCUUAGAUGAUGUUGAAAGGUUCAACUUCUUGUGAGGAAAAUAAAUUACUAGGAAGCAUGUUGUGCAAAAUUAAAAAAUAAUUGUUUGCUUCCAUUUCUACCUGAUAUGUUUUAAAUUUCCUAGAAAUCAUAUUGUAAAAAUUUAUUUUUUGCACCAACUUUCAUAAUUAGUCCAAGUCCAUCCUCCAACUUUCAUAAGCCUACAAAACUAGUCCUUCAAAUUAAAGAUACUUCCCUGUCCGUCCACCAUCUUUCUAAUACCUCCAAAUUCAUCCUUGGACUUUUUGCACCAAAAAUCAAGUCCUUUAUCUUCAAGGUACUACUAAGUCAAUCCUCUAUUGUUCAGAUAAUUCUAUAUCAACCCUCUUACCUUUAGAUAACACCAAAUAGGCACCAAACUUCAGAUACCACCAAAGCAGCUCCAACUUUCAAAUGCCAAUAAAUUAGUCCUUUCACUUUAUUAUACCUACAAAUAAGUUCUCAAACUUUAAGAUAUAUGCAUACUAGUCCUCCAGCUUUUAGUUUCCUCUAUAUUCAUCCUCCAACUUUCAGGUAUUAUAAAACCAGUUCUUGAACUUACAACAACUUCAUAUUCGUCCUCUAACUUUCUUAUACUAAUACAAAUUUGGAAGGCUGGCCUGCCUUUCAGCAAACUGAAAGCUACACGGGGCUCUAUACGUAGAUGCCUCAAACUUGCCAUUUCCCAAAUGGUAUCUGGUAAUACAACUUCUCCUUUUACUCCUUUCACAAAAAGAACCUCAAGGUUCACAAGAUUUGAUAUGGAUGACGGGAUAGAAUUCAUACCACCUCUAACUCCUAGGUACCUCAAAUGAACUAAAAACUCUAUUCCAGAAGGAAAAGAAUCACCAAAACUGACGCAGCUCCAAUCCAGCACUUUAAGAAGUUUCAAGCUGUAGGAAAUGGCUGAGAAAUCCCAAGGAUAGGUCCAAUCUGAAUACCUGUCAUCGGUAGCAAAAUACAGUAGAGUGCGGACUUGUUUGUUUAUUAGCUGGUUUCCACGCAAUAAUAUCAUUCCGGUUACAGUAAAUGGAUAGUCGAAUUUGCUGAGGAAGUUUAUAAAUAAAAGAAUGAACAUCAACAUCCCCAAAAUAAGGAGCAUAAAGCUCAUCAUACCCAUUUACCAGUAGCAAAAAGUUCUCUUGUUUGGCUUUCUCCAAGCACAAAUCAUGUAUUAAAUCAUGAAUAUGACAUACGGGACAAUCUCUGAGUAUACAAUCAAUCCUCCUACUCUUAUAUACCUCCUAACCGGUCCUCUAAAUUUUAGAUAAUUCUAUAUAAAUCCUUCAACUUAUAAAUUCCUCCAAAUCAAUCCUCCGUUAAUUUUCUAUUGUGGGUGAUUUGGUCAUUAAGUAUUUAAGUCUUGCUGUUUUUCACCCAAAAUGCAGAACCAAGUAAACCAAGCAAAAAUUGUAAAAUUCAGUAAUUGAAAAACGGCUCUAUUUAUUACAAUUACAACUUACAAGCUGACAAUGGAGACUGUGGAGUGCGGUGUCGCCGGUGUGGCCUGUGGUCUGUCUGUGGAGUGCGGACUGUGACUCUGUGAGGUGUGGCCUGUGCGGAGCGGACGGCGGAGUCGGGCUGACUUGCAGGCUGCGGAGGCGAGCAGCAAAGCCGGCGACAGAGGCAGAAGCAAAAGCCAGAAGAAGGGCCAACCGGCCAACCGCCAACGCAGAUUCGUGGUGGACAGUGGACUCACCUCACGUCACUCACCGUCUCACCGGACUGUGUCACUGCUCACUGUCACUGUGGAGAGGGGAGUGACGAACCGACGGUGUCACGGUGGAGAGCCAGGAGAGGGCAAUGACGGUCGCUCGUGAAAGUCGGAGGAGGUGAGACGAUAUGAAUUUUCAAUUUUCAGAUUUGGGAAUUUUGUUAAAUGGAUUGGAUUUGAUUUGGAUAAAUGGAUUGUUGGGUUGGGAUUUAUGGGUAAAUUGAUUGUUGGGUUGGGAUUGAUUUAGUUAUUGGGUUGGGCAUUUCGUUUGGGCCAAUUGAACUAAAAAAAAAAAAAAAAAUUAGAGCCAAAACGAGGCCCCCCGAGAUCUUGGGCCUGAGGCGGAGGCCUCAUUCGCCUCGGCCCAGGACCGGGCCUGGUUGGAUCAUAGGUUCCCACCCGAUUUUUACUCUUGGCCUAAAGAGAGCUUUCCUCCAUAGUAAUUGCGUCUGAGGCUUGGUUUAAUAUUAUAUAAAGUUGCUUUAAGAGGAGAUUGGAAUGAUGUUGAACCCGUUCUGAGAUCAGACAAAAGUACAGGUUGUCUUGGAUGACAGUAAGUGGAGAUAGGCCUCUUCACACAACUGCUCUCGCCAAGCAAAUUGCGAUUUGUCCCGAACCGACCAACCCAACCCAACCCGACCGACACAUGAUUGGGUUGGGUUGGGUUCCAACAUUUACAUGGGUUGUGUUGGGUUUGAUUUUGAACAAACCGACAAUGGUGGGUUGGGUUUGGGUUAAGACAAAAACCGACCCAACCCAACCCAACCCACGCCCACCCCUACUUUUAUAUAAAAGCAAUUUUAUCCUUCACCUUUUAGAAAAGAUUAAUUUGGUCAUCCAAUUAUUGGUCAAAAGCAAAUUCAUACUUCAGCUUUUUAAAAGUACAAUACGGUCAUCCGUCUAUUAGUCAAAUGCAAUUUCAUCCUUAUUUUUUUGAAAGUUCAAUUUGGCUAUCUAACUAUUGGCCAACAGCAAUUUCAUUGUUUAAAUUUCUGAAAAUUUAAUUUGGUCUUCCAACUAUACAUUAAAUGUAUUUUCAUCCUUCAACUAUUACUUUAACUUCUAUUUGGUCUUCUAUCUAAUUUUUAAAAUUAAUUUCAUCCUUCAACUUUUUGAAAAGUUCAAUUUGGUAUUCCAACUAUUAUUUAAAAUCAAUUACAUCCAUCAAUGUUUUCAAAUGUUUGGUCAUCCAACUAUUAGUUGAAAGUAAUCUGAUCCUUCAACUUUUUCAAAACUUCAAUUUUUUUAAUCUGACUAUAAUAUAAAGUCAAUUUCGUCUUUUAAACUUUUACUAAACUCAAAUUUGGUCAUCCAACUUUUUUUAACUUCAAUUUUCUUCCUUCAAAUUUCAUUAAAUUUGACUUUUGUCAUCCAACUAUACUUGAAUAUUAAUUUUAUCCAUCAACUAUAUGGAAAUCGAAUUUGGUCAUCCAAUUAUACUUGAAAUUCAAUUUGAUCAUCCAACUAUACUUUAACUUCAAUUUUAUCCUUCAAAUAUUUGGAAAAUUGAAUUUGGUCAUCCAAAUAUAAUUUAAAUUCAAUUUCAAGCGUAAACUUUUACUAAACUCGAAUUUUGUCAUCCAACUAUUUUUAACUUCCAUUUCAUCUUCCAACAUUUAAGAAAUACGAACUUGGUCAUCCAACUAAUUUUAAACAUCAAUUUCAACCUUCAACUAUUUUAUCCUUAAAAUUUAUUAAAACUCGAAUUUGGUCAUCCUUAAUACUUAAAUAUAAAUUUCAUCCUACAUCUAUUUUGAAAUUUAAAUAUGAAUUUCAUCCUACAGUUAUUUUGAAAUUUAAAUAUCAAUAUCAUCCUACAACUAUUUUAAAAUUCAAAUUUGGUCAUCCAUAUACUUUAAAUUCAAUUUUGUCUUUCAACUUUUAAGAAAUUCUAAUUUGAUCAACCAACAACUAUAAGUUAAAUUCAAUUUCAUCCUUAAACUUUUAUUAUAUUUUUAAUUUGGUCAUCCAACUAUUUUUCAAAAAACUUUUAUUAUAUUUUUAAUUUGGUCAUCCAACUAUCUUUUAACUUCAACUUCAUCCUCCAACUUUUAGGAAAUACAAAUUUGGUCAUCCAACUAUAUUUUAACUCCAAUUUCAUACUUCAACUUUCAUUAAAUUUCAAAAUUUUCAUCCAACUAUACUUGAAUAUCAAUUUUACACACAGCGAAUGCCAUCAAGAGUGCAGAUUUGCCUGCGGACAGAGUCAUCAAUCAAAUUCCUUUUUUUCUUUUUUUUGUCUUUUUUUUUUUCACUCAAAAUUUUAUCUUUCAAUCAGAAUAAUGACUGAGACCAAAAUUUAAGUCCAUGAUAUUUCACUCUUAGUCUUUGACAUCAUCAAGGAAAGAAUCAAAAGAUAUGCAUUCAAUUUGUUAAUGCAUUUAUCAUUCUCGAUGAAAUUCUGCAUUAGUAUCAAUAAUGGUAACCUGACUUCUUUAAAUGUCUAAAAAACAUAUAUUCAACGAAGAAUUUACAACGUAUUACGUUGACGUCAAUCUACAUUCGCACCAUGGCAUUGUCCGGUUCCCCUAGAAUCUCUUUAGAGUCUCGACGCAAAUGGUUAAAAAAAAAUAAAAAUAAAAAUUCAACGUGUAGAUUUUCGUACUCUUUUAAAAUACAUCCCAGUGUUAAAAUUAGAGGGAAAUUCUUGUCGGCGCAAGAGAAAAAAAGAAAUUGUGUGACACUUAAAAAUAUCUUUCUUUCAUCCUCCGUCUCCAAAAAAGACAUAAAUUUAAUGACGAGUCAUUUAUGAACAGACGCAUUCUUUCUGAACAGAUACAAAUACUCAAUGACAAUCCUUUUCAUCUUCUAUAAAUGGUCGAGAAGAUUUGGCCUUUUCCAUCAGUGUAUUAUAAUCAAUUCAAAAUACAUUUUCUUCAUUAUCUUCGCCGUAAUGGCCGCAAAUAAUAGGAUUUUGAUUGUCGCCCUUUUAAUGUGUGCAUUGGCUCUGAAAGCCAUGGCAGAAGGAGAUGAGGGAAAUAAAAAUGCACAUUGCACAGUAGAAUGCUAUUGGGAAUGCACAAAAAUCCAGAUUUUCACGCACAACAAAUGUGAGAGCGCGUGUAGACUCGUCUACGCGAGAAGAAAUGUGAGGAAAAUAUCAAAAGGCAAAGUCAAGUUCUUACCUCCAUGGGUGUAAUAGAACAGUCAACAUUUAUAUAUAACAUUUCAAUGCAUAAAUCAUCUGUUUGUUUUAUCUAUUAAUAUGAGAGAAAUCAAAGUUGGAUUUUUUAUAUUAAUGUACCAAUUCUUUGUGGAUUUUUUGGAGAUUUGAUAUGAGUAUGGUAUCUGCAAUCACAAAGUGAAUGUCCUUCUCUUCUUGAUACUGCAAUAUUUCAUUAUAUGUUACCAUCUUCUGUUUAAUCUAUGUUUUGUCAAUUAAAUAAAUAUCUCUGUCAAAGAACUCAAACAUGUUACCAUCUUUUGUUUAAUUUAGUUUUCUCUUCUUGAUAUUGAAAUAUUCAUUAUAUUAUUUCUCAUCUUCAGUUUUCUUCUCUCACUAAAUUUUCACAGUAGCCAAACUAAAUAAUUCUAAAUGACUGUCACCUCCAACCAUUCCAUCCAUUGCAAUUGGAAUUAUGGAUUUCCACCGUAAAUUUAGUUCCAAGGACACUUGAGCACAGUCGAACCAACCCAAGAGGAGAGGAAGAGGAAGGGGCAAUGAGCCUAUAAAUAAGCCAUAUUGCUCUUAUCACCAAGCUCACAGCCAUAGGACUAAUGACUGCACGUUGAGGCUGUAUCAUCAACAACUAACGGGCCAGUAUAAUAAUAGAAGAAAUGCACGUCGAGAUUGGAAAAACACAUCUCAAAGGAGGCGGGGGUGAAAGCCUUGGCAAGGGAAGACAAGGCGCACUAGGCAACGAAAUGAUGAAAAUAAUAGAAGAGGGGGAUAUUUAUAGUGUUAGACAAGAGAUGGUAUCCAUUGAAUGAGGACUUUGACUUCCUAGCUUGUAGCGCAUUUAAUGUUCUUAUAUAUAGCAGCCAUCCUAUUGACAAGACAAGACAUUUAUACUCAUUACAAAGGUCACCU
rnacentral:lncRNA from 1 species